UGAAGGCUUAGAAAGGUUCUCAAACAUAAUCUUCUCUAUACAGGAGGUGAUCAGCCAGUCGCGGUCCCGCUUCAACCCCAGCAUCAGCAUGAUCAAGAAGUGUAUAGAGACUCUCAUAGACAAACAGUACCUCGAAAGGACAGCUAACACUACAGACGAAUACAGCUACGUAGCAUGAUGCAGCUGUCUAUGUGGGUGUGCAUCACAUACUCUAGCCCUCAUACCGACUGCAUCGUCACUAACGCUCAAUAUGUCAUUCUGUCUAGAUGUGAAAUCAGCCUGACUUUCAAGCUCCUGAUCUGAGGCUGCGAGUGCACCUGUUGAAGAAUGGCACCACAGGAUUGGAUUAUAUGAAGAGUGUGUAUUGUUAUUAAAGCAUAUUGGAAUACAUCUAUGGGAUCUAAGGAUGGGAUAACAUUUUGAGAGGAAAAUAAUAGACUAACUUUCUCUUGGAGUCCUACUGGGAAAAUGGAAAAAUGGAAAAUGGACAACUAUUCAUAACAGUCAUUUAUUAUUACAUCUUGACACGUACAGCAAUAUUGGUGGAAGAGAAGUGGACAGUUGUGUUUAACAAGAACAUGACAGAACAAGGUUGAUGGCAGAAAACGUGAUUGUGACUAUGGAAUGCAUCCUCAGACAUUAGUUAAGAAAAUAUUGAAACUAUUAUUGUCAUAGUUCCGUGAAGGCUGGAGUAAUUAAUCCCCACGGUUCCUUGAUCCUCCUUACCAACAAAUAAAAAAGGGAGAUGACACAAAAUUAUGUAUAAAUUUUGCAAGUUUAUUCUAUUUUAUUUUCAAACAAAAUUAAUCAAGCAAAUAUAAAUUAAACUAAAAAUUACAAUGUAUUCUCACAAAUUUACUGAAGACUUAUCCAUAAAAUAUAAAAUAGGUCUGUGAAGUCCUCAUGCAAAGAAAACCAAGAGAAAUCUGUUUCUAACUGCUGCAAGUAGCAAAUGUUUUUUUGUGUUUUUAAAAAAAUUGAAAUCCAUCAAUUUUUUGUAUGUGGUUAAUAAGUGAUGAUCAUGCUAAAGAAA